AAAUGCUAGAGGGCCUAAAUGUCACCACUCCCCCCCAGGCCACCCACCACUAGUUGCCAAGUGAAGCCUGAAAAUUGCAGAUCUGAUUGUUCUGCUCAGAGACCCUAGUGGUGCCUGGUGUUCUGGGAUGGCCAGGCCUGAGCCAGGCAGCAAGGGCCCUCACGUUCUGCUGUUCAGUCUUCAAGUUGCUGAACUUUUGCUUGGACCAUUCUCGGUAUCAGGAUUCCCAAACUGUCCCAGGUGCUUAUGCCACCCCAGUGUGGCCAUCAGAGUCACAGGGAUUGCUUCAGGCAUGGGCAUGUGACUCUUUCUGGGCUAAAAAAGUGAGUUAAUCCUGGGGCUUUUGUGGAAAGCUCUGGGCAAGGGACACCCACCCUUCUGAGUUUGUUAGCUAGAGAGUAUACAGCUGGCAUUGCUGGGGUCCAUCUUUGUCAUCCAAAGGGGUCAGUGUAAGAAGGAAAACAAUCCUUCCACAAAAAGAGAGUGGAAGAGCACCCACAGACAUCCUGAUGGCAUUAUAGGAGUACCUGAAUCCAUCUAUAACUAGAACCUACUCUAGACUUUUCAGUGACUUGCGUCAAUAAAUUCCCUUUUUUAAAAAACAAAACAAUUUUAGCUGGAUUUCCUGUCAUUCCCAUUAAAAGUCAUUACUCAUGUGAAGGCACAACUCCCUUGAAGGCAGAAUUAAUCUCUCCUUUAUUGUUCUCCAGGCAAGAGCUGUGUUUACCCCACCUGAUUAGCAUUGCCUCCUCCUUUCGCUUCCUGCCCAGCAGCCCCUUCUGCAGGAACCCACCUUGUUCUGCCUCUGCUCCUGCUGGACCUCAGGGUUGCCCUGGCCAGCAUCACAUGAUGGCACUGGCUGGUUCACCACCAUCAGUGAUAUUUGGAAGACUGAACACGUGUUUCCAAACCCAUCCACUCCAUAGUCUUCCUGAGCCACAUUCCAACCAUGUGAAAUAAGUAUACAGAAUAUUAUUCCCAUUCAACAGAAGAAGAGAACUAAGGUUCACAGAGAAGGAAGUUCACUCAUCAUUCAAUAAACAUUUAUCAAGAGUCCACAGUGCUGGGCCCUGGAAUACAGCAGAGACCAGACAAAUGGUACCAGCCUAGUGUUGGUAAGUCAGAAGCAGAAACCAUGAUGGGCAUGUUGCUCUUGUCAGCCACCACCUGUUGCCUGAGGAAACCAACCUCUCCACAUUCCAUUUCUGCUGUGGUGGUCAAUCAACUUGUUUCCUUUACUUUGCAAAAUGGUCUAGGUGGAGCCAAUAUGGCACCAUAUUCCCUAGACAGUGAUUGGUCCAGAGGGUGGGCAGACGAUCCUAGCAGGACCAAUUAGUCUUUCCUAGGGUUUUCAUAUGGAUGUUGGGAUACAGGCAUUUCUUUCUAAGGUUGCUAAGGCAGGUGGGUGUUAAGUCUUGGAUUGCUGGCAAUCAUCUUGGUAUAGGAGAGAACCGUAAGGAAGAAUAAAACCAAUCAGAGACAAGUAGUACAGACAUGAGAAUCAGAGACUAACAACAUCGUUUGAUCACUGGAUCUAGCUAUGCCAGAAGGUAACACACCUACACUUUCUAGUUAUGUGGGCCAGCCCAUUAUCUUUCGGCUUGGGUUUGAAUUACAAACAGUGGAAAGGAAAAGAGUCCCAUUGAACAGAGAAACCACAACAACAAGUCCAGCUUUCUGCUCACUCUACUCAACUGUUAUUCCU
rnacentral:lncRNA from 1 species